UACGUAGGUGGCAAGCGUUGUCCGGAAUUAUUGGGCGUAAAGCGCGCGCAGGCGGUCCUUUAAGUCUGAUGUGAAAGCCCACGGCUCAACCGUGGAGGGUCAUUGGAAACUGGGGGACUUGAGUACAGAAGAGGGUCGCGGAAUUCCCGGUGUAGAGGUGAAAUUCGUAGAUAUCGGGAGGAACACCAGUGGCGAAGGCGGCGACCUGGGCCAAUAUUGACGCUGAGGUGCGAAAGCGUGGGGAGCAAACAGG
rnacentral:rRNA from 1 species